CAGCUGCGCCUCGUCGGGAGCCGCGGGCGGGGCCCGCCCCAAAGCCUCUUAAGCUCCUCCGGAGGCUGCCGGGAGCCACGGGGGAGUUUCUGCGGUUCUGUAUGGGAGACGGAGUGAGUUCUGUUUCUUUGUCGGGCCCUGGCGCUGCUGAGGCUGAGAAGCGGCUGCUGUGAGACCUUUUGUGGUAAGGACCAGCCCAAACAGGCUGAGCGAGAGCUGUAGCAGAGCCUCUCAUCGGCCCGAAGCAGUGAGCUCGUGGAAGCGGAGCACGAUUUAGGUUCCCACCGUGGAGACCUGGCAGGGCAGCUCGCACGACUGGAGUGCUGUCGUGGAUGGCUGUGUUCCUUUUAGGAAAGACAGACCGGCCAGACGGUGGAGUCUCUCUUCGAGGGAGAGAACGGGAACGUAUCGAGCUCCACCUAGGGGUGAAUGAAGAACCAGCGGAGCGUUUGUGCGUGAGGCUGAAGAGGCAGGUAAAAGUGGGUGACCUGAGUGGUGGUGUUGGUCACAGACCAGGGUGAGGAAGCUGAUAGACCUUCUGCACACAGCUGGAAAUGGUGCCCACAGCUGUGAGGCCAGUUCUCAUGGUAGGCUCCAGGAGUUUCCUGCAAUGUGUCAAAGGUAAGAUUUUCUGUCACAGGUGAUGAAGGAGGCAUUGAGGAGAGGGGCUGCUGGAGCUCCCUAUUGCAGAAGAGCCAUUUGGGGACAGGAAGGCCAGGGGCAGCCUGGAGCGUGCCAGUCGUGAGACCACAGCGUUUGGGAUCUUGUGUGGAAGCUGCAAAGCAAUGAGUAGGAUUGAAACACUGGACUUAGAGGGAGCCAGGUUUGUCCUCUUGAAGGGCCUACUUGGAGGUAACCCUUGCUCAAGCAUAGGAAGGGGUCCCGUGAAUGCUGGAGCAUUACUUCGUCCAUGCUGAGGUGCGCUGUGUCCCAAGGAGGAAGGAACUGCGCAGGAAUGGUGGGGGACCUGCAGGGCUGACUGAGGAACUUGAUGGGGAGAAGGAAGAGAGAGGCUGAGGAAGGCCAAGUCCCUCUGAGUAUCAGCUUUGGGAGGGAGGUCAAGGCUAAUGGAAGUUUGUCAACAGGAGAGACUGGAGAAAUUGCAGGCCUGCGCUUUACAAGGCGGAGGCCUGAGUAAUGAGGCCUGAGGCGGAGGCCUCUUGGGUUCAGUGGUUUCUGCUGAGAGUGCUCCUGGGGAACCUGGGGUCCUGGAGGAGAGAGUCCCUGAGGAAGGAUGUCUUCCCCUCAGUUGCGGAGGAGCUGGUCAAAGGUACCUGAAGACUGGAGGAUGGCGGAUGCCACCGCAGCCUUCAGAAAGGGUGUGGAGGAUGGCGUGUGCAACUUGGAGGUAGGUUGGCCUCAUGUCUGUUUCUGGGGAGGUGACGCAACAGCUUGUUGCAGGUGUCAUUGCCAUGUGACUGGAGGAGAAGGUAUUUGCAAGGAGCAGUCCAGGUGGAUGGACAGAGGGGAAGUCAUGCCGGACCAAAAGGUAGCUUUGUGCAUUGUCUUGAUUGUGCAGUUAGAGGAGAGGAGGGUGGCAGAUAGCAAUGCCUGCUGUGCAGGAGCCCAGUUGACGGGGAUGAGUGGCGUGUGGCAGUAGGGGGGCAGUGUGCAUGUUUGGUAUCACCAGAAUUUCUCAUUCAAGAGGAAGAAGAAUGAUUUCCCUGUGAGCGGGAUGGGAGAGGAGUGCCUGGGGAGGUAGCGGAGUCCGGUUCCCCGGGCCCCGUUCCAGUUGCGUGCGGGCGCUUUGCAGUGGGGCCUUGGCAUUCUGUCUGGCUGUGUGAUCUGUGCUCUUGUUGCAGGGUGAAGGCUGCAGAGAGGAUUGGCUGGAGCAGGUGUGCAGUUUUCCCAGGGGUGGGAUGAAGGAGGUUCAGGCUGGAGGCAGGAUCCUGGCGGUGUGAGCGGGGCGCCCCUGUGGAGCAAGGGUGGAAGGUGCGUGGCAGGUCCUGUCCCGGAGGAGUGGAGUUAAGGGUCCUGGUGUGGCUGUUUUCCUGCAUGGAAGAUGGAGAUCCUGGGAGCUGCGAUGAGGAGGAGCAGAGCCAGCAGUGGCUCCUGUGUGGCGAUGGCUGCUUUGUGUGGUGCUCCUGGGCUGAAAGGAGGAGGAGAAAAAAGUUUUUAGUGUGGUUCUUCAAAGCUCAGGUAAGCUCCCUUGGAACCAACUCCUCUUGUUGUGACUUAAGAGGUUGCUUGUUCUCUGUAGUCAUGGACUGCACCCUGGGGGGGUUGGGGGAAGUGGCUGGAGGUCAUGUUUACUCCCUCACACCACAGGCAUACCAUCUCUAGCUAUGCAGGAUGGAUACUGUAGCAGCCUAAGUAGACUGAGACCCUCAGGAAGGAGGGCAGCUGCUGCUCUGCUCUCUGACUUUAGCAUGCUGCUCUUGGAGGGGAAAAACUCAGACAAAUGGGAAAAUUAAAGGAGGGAAAUGCUGAUGACCUCUCCCUCUUGUGAGAGGUCUCUAACAAGGCCAGCUUGGUGUUGUGUUCAUAAAAAUGAAGAUGUCUCCUUGUGGGGAUAAGGCAUAAUACUAAAGAGCAUGCCUCUCAAAGUGCACUGGGUUGAAUUAGUGGAUGGGAGACUUGAAACUUAAAAAUGGGUAACUUUGUAAUAGUGGGAAAACCAGGUCCCCUGUUUGAGAGAGGUCUUCCUCUUGCUUUACAGUUUCCCUUCCCCAAGAAGCUAUGGGGAGCUUCUAGGUCUAAUGCUGUUCCUCUGCUUUUGAGGUAUGCCCCUGAAAUACUGGUACUGGAGUCAGCCUCUGCAGGGUCUAAGUGGGUGCUGAGGGGUCCUUUCUCUGGAAGAACUACUGGCUGGUGACGGCUUCUUGUAAAGAUGGUUUCUACUGUGGGUGGAAAGGCUCUGUUCUACAUGUGGGAACGGGGAUGUGGGAAUGGGUAGGAAGCUAAAGCUCUUGUAGCUGUCUCCAGCUUAAAACAAAUGUGCAAUAAAUCCUUACUUACCACAAAAAAAAAGAGGUGGCACCUGCUAUUUCUGUGCUUGGGGCUUCUUCCUUCCCUGGCUGAUGCCAUUGGUUCAGCAAUCUUGAGGGAUGAGAAAGGGGAGAAAAAUGAUGCCUUUGGCCAGCUGUUUAGCAUUGCAUGUUCUGUAAGGAAAAAAAAAUAAAUAAAAAGUGAGCCUUAUGUCAAUAACAAAUGCUUACAAAUCACCUACUUCAACAGUACAAUGCCUCAGACUCACUUCACUCACCAGAUGAAAUCUCUGAGGAUCUUUCCUGUGUCUGUAUUGUUGCAGCUGAAUUUCUGCACGGCAGCCUUUCUCGAAUGCGGUAGGGCUUCCCUGGCUUGAAGAUGAGCAUGCUGUUCUGAGGGAGGAGUGGCUAGACUAACUUGACUAGGCUAGACUAUUUCUAACUAGACCAGAGGACAAGACUUCCUGCUUUUGUAAUGCAGGGAGGGGGAUGUCUGAGCUGAAAGUAGAUGGUGCAUUCCUGUGGUAGAGGAAUGUGAAAAGAUGGGUCUUGAGUCAGUAGUAAGUUUAUUAUUAAAGGGUAAAGUUCUUUAUUUCAUCCUAAAUUGGGAAUUUUUCACUGCCACAAGCCCAGUCAUGUCACUAUGCUCAUUUUCUGCCUUCUACCAUUUACAACCAGAAUGGCUGAGCAAGGAGUACUGUUUGCAGCUAGGUUUGCAGCCAAAAUACCCUUCUGUUGAUUCAUAAUGUGUUCUGGGGGGGUGCACAGUCAGAAGAGAGCUUCCACCAUGCAUACCAGUCCUUAUAAAGUAUCUUUCCUUAUGAGCACCAGUACGGACUCCCUUUCCCUGUCUCUUUUAGCUGGAGACCUGGGCUGUGCAUCUGUGUUCCUCCAUCUAUAAUGAGAAGAAAGGGUUUCUUUUUUUUUUUAAUUUUGUUGUUUUAACAAGUAACAAAUAAAAUUCAAGGGAGCUUGGCAACUGUGUUUGACUGUGAGUGGUUCCAGAAGUCUGACCUUUGUUCUUCUGUCAUUCAUAUUGAACACUGAUCCCUAGGUGCAUAGUGCACAAGGAGGCUCUAACCUUCUCCAGUUUCUACACUCACUUGAAGUAAUUAUGGCCAUAGUCAUUUCCCUUCCACAUCAACAUUGGUUACUGUACUGAGCAGAUAAAUCCCUUCCCCCAAACCUAUGUGGCUGCAUGACAAACCACAAGGACUCCUUGUUUAAGAAGAAAUAACAGCAAAAAUAAGCCAUCCAGGGCUAAGAGGUCUUUCAAACUUGAUGUGAUAUGUCUGUUCCUCAGGGGUUCAUAUGGUCUCGUGUACUUGACACUGCAAAAAAACAGUAGCAGAAGCAGUGAAACUAAGGAAAGAGGAAGGUUUCAGAUAUCACCUUGCAAAGCUCAUUGCUCACAGCAUAAGCUCUUCAGACUACCUCGACACACGGGCCUUGGAGAAGUCAGGCACAAGCGCUUAUCCUUCUAAAUGCCUUUCCCAAGAGCUGAGACCCC
ensembl:lncRNA